rnacentral:rRNA from 1 species
UACGUAGGUGGCAAGCGUUGUCCGGAUUUACUGGGCGUAAAGAGCGCGCAGGCGGUCGUUCAAGUCGCGUGUGAAAGCCCCCGGCUCAACUGGGGAGGGUCACGCGAUACUGAUCGACUCGAAGGCAGGAGAGGGUAGUGGAAUUCCGGGUGGAGUGGUGAAAUGCGUAGAGAUCCGGAGGAACACCAGAGGCGAAGGCGGCCUACUGGGCUGCACCUGACGCUGAGCCGCGAAAGCCAGGGGAGCGAACGGG